GAUGAACGCUAGCUACAGGCUUAACACAUGCAAGUCGAGGGGAAACGCUGAGAGAGCUUGCUCUCUUAGGCGUCGACCGGCGCACGGGUGAGUAACGCGUAUCCAACCUACCCAUUACAGGGGGAUAACCUUGCGAAAGUAAGACUAAUACCCCAUGGCAUUUUAUGGUGGCAUCAUUAUAGGAUUAAAGAUUUGUUGGUAAUGGAUGGGGAUGCGUCUGAUUAGCUUGUUGGCGGGGUAACGGCCCACCAAGGCAACGAUCAGUAGGGGUUCUGAGAGGAAGGUCCCCCACAUUGGAACUGAGACACGGUCCAAACUCCUACGGGAGGCAGCAGUGAGGAAUAUUGGGCAAUGGGCGAGAGCUUGAACCAGCCAAGUAGCGUGCAGGAUGACGGCCCUAUGGGUUGUAAACUGCUUUUAUAGGGGAAUAAAGUGAGCUACGUGUAGUUUAUUGCAUGUACCCUAUGAAUAAGGACCGGCUAAUUCCGUG
rnacentral:rRNA from 1 species